rnacentral:rRNA from 1 species
UACGAAGGGGGCUAGCGUUGCUCGGAAUCACUGGGCGUAAAGGGUGCGUAGGCGGGUCUUUAAGUCAGGGGUGAAAUCCUGGAGCUCAACUCCAGAACUGCCUUUGAUACUGAGGAUCUUGAGUAUGGGAGAGGUGAGUGGAAUUCCCAGUGUAGAGGUGAAAUUCGUAGAUAUUGGGAAGAACACCAGUGGCGAAGGCGGCUCACUGGCCCGUAACUGACGCUGAGGUGCGAAAGCGUGGGGAGCAAACAGG